CUUCGGCCAGUUCGCUUAUCCUGUGCGGCCACGGGACUUUUUUUUCUCUGCCCCUCGAAACUCGCAGAAGCCGCUGAAAAAAAGUGAUAGGAGGUGCGGCGCAGGGCCUCUCUUUCGCUCCGCCGAGACAUAACCAUCCGUCAACAACUGCUACGAUCACCUCGGUAGUUUUCGCAUUUGCCUAGCCGUCCUUGCCUUUCCCGUCUGAAUUAUGCCAUCUGGUGUUGGCGUGCCUGCCACGCCCCACCGUCAGGCGCUCCCCUUCGAGGUAGGUGAGCAACCGCCACUGACGCCGCUUCCCACGGCUCCCAGAGAUGACUACUCCCGCACCUCUCAGCUCUUGUUUGAGGCGCCUGUGCUUCUGCCUCUCACUGCCGACCAGCGGCACCUCAUUGAGCAGCUCGAUUUCUUCAAGAAAUGGUACCUCUUUUGCCAUUUUGUGUACAUAUGCACAUGGGUUUUGAUUGGGUUUCUUGGUCUGCUUGUCAUGGUCCCACACCUCGCCACUGUUGACGCCUUCUUUGUCGCCGUAUCCUCGGUGUGCAACUGCGGUCUGCAGUCAGUGGACGUAGGCAAAUGGUCUGCCGGCGCGACGCUUUUCCGGCAUUUUCUGUUGCUCCCUGGAGGGGUUGUGAUCACCAGCAGCUUUCAACCUCUUCUGCGCCUCUUCAUGUUGCACCGCGUGCGGCAUGUCUUUUACCCUGAAGAGAAGGAUACACCACGGGAGGCGUUAUUACGGGCGAAGAAGCGAGCCGAGGCACGCCGCUUGCACUACGCUGCUCUCGUGAGCGCCAUCACCCCCUUUGUGUACUUUGUCGUCGUCAACAGUGCCCUCAUGACGCUGCUGUGGAGUCUCAACGUCUCACACCUCUCUGCCUUUGACGUGUUCUGCAUGACACUCGCUUCAUUCCACAGCUCCAUCUUCUUACCCAUGGACGCGUACGCGAGGGACGCCGCUGUGACGGGCCUGGUGACAGCAGCGUGCGCACUAGGGUUCACCGCCUUCCCUGUCUUUCUCCGCUUUUUUAUGCUGUGCGAGUGGUGCUCGCUGUGGGUCGUACGCCGCUUUACCGGUCUCCUAUGCCGCUGCAUCGAGCUCUGUCGCUCGCCUUUGGACGACACUAGCGACGGUGAGGAGAGGAGCGCCAGCGAAACCGACGACAUCUCUGCAGCCUUGCUUCAUGCCCUGCCACGCCACUCUUACUCUCUCUUACGCUGCCUAGAUAAUAUGGACGCUGCAUUUCGGGAGGCGAUGUCGUCUAAAGAGCCAGGCACCUUUCACCCGUUUCUCUUUCGUCCCAGCGAAACGGCCUUUCUGGGCUUUGCGUGGUGCGCCCUGACCCUGAUGCAAGCGGCCCCGUUCUGGUAUGAGCAGUGGGAUGGGGUGCUGCACGGGUACACAUGGCCGUACAAGAUAUACCUAUCUCUCUGCCAGGCCGCCGCCGUCCGCUUCGCCGCUGCCUCCUUUGUGCCGCUGCUCGAGUACAGCAAUGCUCAUGUAGCGGUAACCAUCCUCUCCAUGUACCUCCCCGCUCUCCCGAUAUCGACCGAUCGCACGUACCGCAAGUGGAGGCAAAUGUUCCGCACCUCUGUCGUCCGCCUGCUCACGUCGCGUCUCUUCUGGCUGUUUACUGGAAUGGUGCUGAUGCUCUUUUCAGAAGAGGCCGAAAUGCGGGUGCAGCUGCUCAAGAGUCGUUUUGAUAUCAUGACGCGCACCUUAUUUGAAGUCAUCAGCGCCUACGCUGGAUGCGGUCUGUCGCUGUCACUGCCCGACUCGAAUGUGUCAUUUGUUGGCUUCACUGGCACCUUUUGCAAGCUCAUCAUUGCCGCGGUCAUCCUCGGCGGUCGGCAUCGCUUCGUAGAUCUCGGCAUCGACUUGGGCUUUAGCUCUCUCCAGUCCGAUGUCGACGCGACUUCUUCGAGCGAAAGGAUCUCUUCCUCCCAGACGUGAUGGCACGCGAGCUACCGCAGUGAAGUGAGCACAGCACGUAUGUGAUGUGCACGCUGGCUGGUGUUGCGUAUGCGGCUCUCGUGCAUGCGAACUGCUACUCACUGCUGAUAUUAUUUCCGUGCUUGUUUUUAUGCUUUUCUAUUCUCUUCACUUCCUGCUUCCCACACUCCCCUCUCCUGUAGAGAAAGGUUGCCUCAUUUCACUGUUGUGACCAGGAGAGGCAGAGUUGCGCCUCCAGCGUCCCUUCCGGCUUAACCCUUGGUCUUUUAUUCUGUUGCUUUUCGGCACUCUUCGCGCGGCGGCCUAGACUCAGCGAAUAAUAAUGGUGUGAUGACUCUUCGAGCACAUCGACAGAUUUCCAGCAGAGAACAUGGCACACAUGGGGCAAGCAAGCGAACGAAAGCGUCCGCGCCGUUGUUUCCGCGUCCGUGGCGCUCUUCUUCCCCGUCUCUUCCCCUCACCUCUGCGUCGC
rnacentral:misc_RNA from 1 species